GAGGGGAAUCAUGAGUGUGAGGCCAGCCUGAGUCAAUCCUGAGACCAUCUGAAAAAGAAAAAAAAUCUUCCAGGACUCAGAUGAACUAGGACGAUGUUGUCACCAGCAGACCUGCACCAUGAGACAGAAUUGCUGAGAAAAUAUCCUGAGAGAGGAAGGGUAAUGAGAGCGGCCCAAGAGCAGAGAGAGGCUGUGGGUUUGUGGGAGGAAGACAGAACACCAUACAUCAUUGUGACUGGAUAAUGGUCCCGUCUAACUGAGGGUCAUAGGUGAACCCCUGAAGGGGGUCGGGACCCACAGAUUGAGAACCAGUGCACUAUGACCUUCAGAACAGGAGAUGGCCUGUGGAGGGAACUUCAAAGACAACAUUUCAGGAAUCAUUUCUCGAGUCUGAAGGGACUCUUCACCUCCCGCUCUUUAGUAGCUGGAUAGGUCAGAUUGACAGAACCCAUAGGAGAUCAAAAUCAGGAGGAGGUGGGGGCUUAGAAACGACGACGGCAAAGAUUUAAAAGGCACAAGGAGCUGAUGAAGAGGCAUGAGGCAGAGCACCUUAGAGAAAGUUCAGGCAGGAUGCCCUUCUGGCCUCGUGGAGGCCAGCCAGAGUGUGUCUCAAGAGUCUUCCAUGAGAAGAUUGCUAAAGGCACACGUUCUAAACCUACACGGCCCACAUCCUAACAGCCAUGUGAAGACCUUCCUCUUGCAGAGAAGAUUUUCAUUAAAGGUUCCUUAACCC
rnacentral:lncRNA from 1 species